UUUGGUGGCGAUGGCGGAGGGGUUCCACACGUACCCAUCCCGAACACGACCGUUAAGCCCUCUAGCGCCGAUGGUACUUGGA
rnacentral:rRNA from 1 species